rnacentral:rRNA from 1 species
GGCUCAGGACGAACGCUGGCGGCGUGCCUAAUACAUGCAAGUCGAGCGGACAGAAGGGAGCUUGCUCCCGGAUGUUAGCGGCGGACGGGUGAGUAACACGUGGGUAACCUGCCUGUAAGACUGGGAUAACUCCGGGAAACCGGAGCUAAUACCGGAUAGUUCCUUGAACCGCAUGGUUCAAGGAUGAAAGACGGUUUCGGCUGUCACUUACAGAUGGACCCGCGGCGCAUUAGCUAGUUGGUGGGGUAAUGGCUCACCAAGGCGACGAUGCGUAGCCGACCUGAGAGGGUGAUCGGCCACACUGGGACUGAGACACGGCCCAGACUCCUACGGGAGGCAGCAGUAGGGAAUCUUCCGCAAUGGACGAAAGUCUGACGGAGCAACGCCGCGUGAGUGAUGAAGGUUUUCGGAUCGUAAAGCUCUGUUGUUAGGGAAGAACAAGUGCGAGAGUAACUGCU